GACGAACGCUGGCGGCGUGCCUAACACAUGCAAGUCGAACGGAGAGUUACUUGUAACUCUUAGUGGCGAACGGGUGAGUAACGCGUAGACAACCUGCCUCUAAAUUGGGGACAACACCGCGAAAGUGGUGCUAAUACCGAAUGUGGUAUCUUGGUCGCAUGAUUGAGAUAAGAAAGAUGGCCUCUAUAUAUAAGCUAUCGAUUAGAGAUGGGUCUGCGUCUGAUUAGCUAGUUGGUGAGGUAAUGGCUCACCAAGGCGACGAUCAGUAGCCGGUCUGAGAGGAUGAACGGCCACACUGGGACUGAGACACGGCCCAGACUCCUACGGGAGGCAGCAGUGGGGAAUCUUCCGCAAUGGACGAAAGUCUGACGGAGCAACGCCGCGUGAGUGAAGAAGGUCUUCGGAUUGUAAAGCUCUGUCGUUUGGGACGAACGUGCUCUAUGCAAAUAGUGUAGAGUAAUGACGGUACCAAAGGAGGAAGCCACGGCUAACUACGUGCCAGCAGCCGCGGUAAUACGUAGGUGGCAAGCGUUGUCCGGAAUUAUUGGGCGUAAAGGGCGUGUAGGUGGAUUCUUAAGUCGUGUGUCUAAGUGCGGUGCUCAACGCCGUAUAGGCGCAGGAAACUGGGAAUCUUGAGUGCAGGAGAGGUAAGUGGAAUUCCUAGUGUAGCGGUGAAAUGCGUAGAGAUUAGGAAGAACACCAGUGGCGAAGGCGACUUACUGGACUGUAACUGACACUGAGGCAUGAAAGCGUGGGAGCAAACAGGAUUAGAUACCCUGUAGUCCACGCCGUAAACGAUGGGUACUAGGUG
rnacentral:rRNA from 1 species